CGGAGGGUGCAAGCGUUAUCCGGAUUCACUGGGUUUAAAGGGUGCGUAGGCGGGUAUAUAAGUCAGUGGUGAAAGCUCCGGGCUUAACUUGGAAACUGCCAUUGAUACUGUAUAUCUUGAAUAUCGUUGAGGUUAGCGGAAUGUUGCAUGUAGCGGUGAAAUGCUUAGAUAUGUUACAGAACACCAAUUGUGAAGACAGCUAACUAAGCGAUGAUUGACGCUGAGGCACGAAAGCGUGGGGAGCAAACAGGAUUAGAUACCCUGGUAGUCCACGCCCUAAACGAUGAUUACUCGAUGUUGGCGAUACACUGUCAGCGUCUUAGCGAAAGCGUUAAGUAAUCCACCUGGGGAGUACGCUCGCAAGAGUG
rnacentral:rRNA from 1 species